AUGCACUUCAAAGCAUGCUAUUAAAUGAUAAGAAGGAGGAGGAAAAAUGUAAUUUCUCCAGCAUAAUUUUUGCAACCACAGAAAUAUCCUGCGCAAGUGGAUCCUCACUUCUUUCCAGCUCAUUCCUAAAUGUACACUGCUGUGGCCUGUGAUGAAAUAUGAAGAAUGUCUAAGGAACCGUGUCUCCUGAAAGUUGCAGAUAACAACCCAUCAACUGCAAAAAUCAUAUGUCUAUUGUCGGAACAGUGAAGAAAAAACACAGGGAACUACAGAGCCUUUCCUGCCUAAAAUUGUACAGGAGGUCAAGAACAACAGUCUUGUCAUGUUUGUCUUCCUGUCCCCAGUACUUGGCACUGUGCCUGGCAUGAGAUUCCACACUCUGGUAAAAAGCAAGCCUGAAAGUUUCUAUUGUGAUGCAGUUAAAAAUGUGACAUUAGAGCUUUCAGAAGAAAAGUGAAAAAAGACUUCCCCACCCACCCACGUCCCACGCCCAGCCAAGCGUAUGAUUUUCUCCUUGUGGAAACAAGCAACUGGAUUGUUACUGACCUACGUCUUGCAGCCUUGAAAUAGCAGAAGCCAUAAACUAUGGAACACCUUCCCAGGAGCUUCAGUCAACCAACGUGACUGUUUACAUGACUAGGAUGGUUUUAAAAUCCUAAAAUCCAAAAUCCAAAGGCAAUGGCAAAGAGUACAUGCCUCAUUAUUUUUCAGAUACUUUAAACAACACAUGCAAUCAACUUGUUUUUAAAGACCGUGGAAGUUCUAGUCGUAUUGACUAGAAAAGUCUAUUGACUUUUGCUCAGAGAAAUAUCACAGUGCUGCUCAUCUUCACGGCGCUCCUCAUGGUUUAGUUUUAAAAAGAUUUGUUUAUAUCUUGCAGUCUUCAGUAAAGUGAGAAAUAAAUUCAGAACUCCAGUAAAGUGAGAAAUAAAC
rnacentral:lncRNA from 1 species